CACGUAGGGGGCGAGCGUUGUCCGGAUUUAUUGGGCGUAAAGAGCUCGUAGGCGGUUUCGUAAGUCGGAUGUGAAAACUCCAGGCUCAACUUGGAGACGCCAUUCGAUACUGCGAUGACUUGAGUCCGGUAGGGGAGUGUGGAAUUCCUGGUGUAGCGGUGAAAUGCGCAGAUAUCAGGAGGAACACCGGCGGCGAAGGCGGCACUCUGGGCCGGUACUGACGCUAAGGCGCGAAAGCGUGGGGAGCGAACAGG
rnacentral:rRNA from 1 species